GCGUCGGCCACCUUGGGCGACACUAAAUCCCAACUCUCAACUUUUCCCUUCGGCGGAACUUUCGCCAGACGACCGCCGUCUUGCUUUGACGCCACCCCGGGCUGCCCGUCGUCGGCGACCGGGCUCCAGUCGAGGAGCGGGUCGAGGCCACGAUGAAAGCGAAUUUGUGCCGCUCCUUCUCGUCGAACGCUUUGGGCCGGACGGACACCCAGCCGGACUCCAAGUUGUCCUCCAUGGCGAAGCCGAAGGGAGACACCAGGCGGAGGGUGACCGCGAUGGGGAGCAGUAGAAGGCUGUCGACGCUAAGUGCUAAUGCUAACUAGCUGGAGAAGUGUAAUUAGAAACACGCUAGCGAGCCGAUUAGCACGAAACAAGCGGCCGAAACAAAGGCUCUCGGCUCGGUCCGCCGGACACGCGAGCUAGCGGCGGCCCGGGACGAAGGCAGGUCCGAACAAGGCGCAUCCAGUCGGCUGUCAUGACACCGCUCGGCCCGCUGGCUUCCUCCGAAUCUUUUUUUUUUCUCCUUCUUUUUCUUUUUGUUGUUGUCCGCGACGACGACGACGAUGUAUCGGCUCAGCACCGUCACGUGUGAGCUUGUGUUUACAAGCCGAGCGCGUGCACGGCAAACAGGGGAGGACUGCGUUUAGGCACCCGCCCAGAAAAUCGUACAUAUAUAUAUGUAAUCGCUAGUGGUGCCUGAUUAGUCGACGGAAAUUAGUACCUUGUCAGUAAGGUACUAGAACUAGGUCAAGGUGCGACAAGCGGUACCUGAUAAGCUAAGGUACUAGAAUGGUAUCCGGUCAGGCGUUUUGUUUCCAAGGCGAGCGCGUGCAUGUUAAAUCCGGAGGAGGGCUGCCGCAUUCAGGAACCACAAGGAAAAUAGUACAUUCCCAAUUUACUUUCGAACAAGUUGGCUUCAGCUAAGAAAAGAGGCCAUAUGAAACAAUCCUCGAAUGUGUCAUCUCGUUCCACGUUAUUUCUCUUGAAUUAUCGAUUCAAUACAUACAUAUUUUAUUGAAGGAAACGUGUCCAUUUGUAUCUCUUUUGUUGUCUGGUUGGCCGGGACGCACACGAGGAGCAUAAACAUCUGCACGUGGGAAAACCCAUGACGCCAUCACGCCGACGUGACUGCGGGCCGGAGAGGGCGGGGCUUACGAGCUCAGGACAUUCUACGGCGAGCCAAGAGGUUCGAAAUAAAUGAACUUGGAGCUGCUCCUUGGUGGUGGCUUCCUUCUGCUGCAUGAGGUCGGCGUGACCUUUGGUGACCCCCCAGCCGUCUGGCGUGGACAUGGAAGGACACAGGGGGCGGCCGGACGCCGGCUUCAGCUUCUCCCAGUAGUCUCGGCGGGCCCUGAAGCAAAGCCAGGAUGUUACAAAAUUCCAUUCAACGCAAAUCUGAAAAAAUACCUGGUCAGUCCUCCAGCAGAACGAUGGAGUCCCCAGCGGGAGCGCUCUCCAGCACCCCCGCUAAGGACUCCAAAAAGGGUGGGUACUCUGAUCCGCUGCUCCUCCACAUCGAGAGGAGCCAGAUGAGGUGGCUGGGGCAUCUGAUACGGAUGCCUCCCGGACGCCUCCCUGGUCAGGUGUUCCGGGCACGCCCCACCGGGAGGAGACCCCGGGGACGACCCAGGACACGGCGGAGAGACUACGUCCUUAGGCUGGCCAGGGAACGCCUCGGGAUCCCCCCGGAAGAGCUGGAUGAAGUCAUUACUGUAUCUUUUAGAUACAUAGUGUUGAAAGUAGAAUAUUGUGACGUUCAGACAGAGACGGUAUCAGUAUCUGAUCUGGUGGAUCAAUGAGUAACGCAGUGAUAUCAACAUUUUACCCCGCUCUAGACAUUACUGUAUCAUUUAGAUACUGUACGUAGUUUUGAAAGUAGAGCACGUGUGACAUCAGACAGUACCAAUUUCGACAUUUGGUGCCGGUAUAUCGACCAGUAUGGCAGCAAUAUCGAUAUUUUUGUCCCAAUCAGAAUGAUUACUGUGUCGUUUCACUACGGAGUGCAGCGUUGUGCCACUCGAACGUUUCUUCGAACUCGUCGCUGGAGCCGUGCCGUAAUAUCGUACCUGGCUCUGCACCAGGGCUUGGUGUGCAUCUCCAGGCCGCUGCCCCACAGGCCGUGCUUGUCGGAGCCCGCCGGCAGGAAGCCCCGCUCGGGCGCCAGCUCCUCGGCCAGGGCGCGCACGUGGUAGGGCUCGAAGCCGCAGCAGCCGCCGAUGUAGCGGAUGCCGGCGGCGUACGCUUCCCGGGCGUACUUCUGCAUGUCCCAGCGGGUCAGGAUCCUCGGCUCCAGACCUGCCGGGGGACAUUUUGUUAUGGAAUUGGGGAAGUCGUACGUACUGAAGGGGAACUCUGGCAGGUCGAUGAAUCCCUGUCUGUUGCAGUCGGGCGUGUGGUAGGCGAGCGGCUGGCUCAUGUAGUGCGCCUUCAGGCCGGCCUUUUCCACGCCCGCCUUCAUCAUGGCUACCGUGCGCACGCAGGUGGUGGGGUCAAAGUGGCAGUUAACGCCCACGAUGUCCGCACCUGUGACCGGGGCCAUCAGUGUUUA